AAAUAUCUACGCAAUGUUUGGUAGGGUGAGCCAGGACCACCAGGUUCCGAAGGAUCCUCUGGAUAUUCAGGAGCUAUGGGUUUCCUUGGUGAAACAGGUGAACUUGGCCCCCCAGGGAAAAAGGGUGAACCUGGUUUGCCUGGACCUCAGGGUGAAUCUGGAAUAGCAGGAGAAAUUAGGGAUGCUAGUGGGAGUGAUGAGGAUGGUGGCUCUGGUGAUCCAGGAGAGACGGUAUGAGAUGGCAAUUUAUUGCAAGUAGUUCGU